rnacentral:lncRNA from 1 species
GGGAGAGAUGAUAUUAACUUCACUUACAGCAGUAAAGUAGAAAAACUUGGAAUGGAAUUUAGAAGUUGAAGGAACAAAUGUUGCUGUCUGGACAGGAAAAGGAAGGAGUAUAGGCUCUUUUAGAAGUAAUACCUUGAGAAAGCCAGAGGGGCCUUCCCACCCCAUUUCAGAGGGCAGUGGAGGCCUGCCUUAGGGCCAGGAGGCCCUAUCCCACUGUGGGUGGAUGUGAUUCUACUUCUCUUCCACCUUGCAGGUCUCAGGGAUGGGAGGGGCUUAUUCGCAGGUGAAAGACUCAGAUGCACAGAGACAGGGAGUCCAGGCCAUUUCAGGAGUCCAGGCACAGCCUCUCAGGAGGGCAGGAAGGGAACAUCCAUGACUGGUAGUGCCCUCUGUCUUGUCCCUGUGCCUGCUGCCAGCUCUGGAGGACCCCAUCAGGGUCCCCAGAUGUACAAUUUUCUUACUUCCAUUUUGGGAGUCAGCAGAAGGGGAGGCUGUCUCUGAGGAGGGCAGCUUCAGUUAAGCAGAGAGAGAAGUCCCAGAACUGGCCAGAAAACAAGAAGAGAUGUGGAAGGACGGUGACCUUCCAACACGGAGGGGAGGUGCAGGCUGCACCAAGUCGCUCCCUGCUGACACCCCUGGAAAAAGGAGGGUGGGAUGUCAAGGACUGGGGAGGUGGGAGUGAAAAGGUCCACAAGGUUUAGGGAGUGAGCAGGAAGGGUUGGAGGGCAGCUGGGAUGUGGGAAGGAAGGGAUGGAAAAGAAGCGGAGAGGUGGGGAGUGGUUCCUCCUCAGAGAGGAGGCCCCGCCCCACGUUGACGCUGCCGUCAGCCCUGGACCACUACGGCCGGGUUCCCGGAUGUGCUUUCCAGACGGCCAUCUUGGGAAUCUAAAGGAUCGGAGGCAUUUUGCAAGGAGAUUCGAAUCAAGUCAGCGGCGGGAAGUCUUAGACCUGGCCAGUCCACAAGGUGCUCCAGGAACCAGGUGGUGACAAACUGGGUGUGAGGCACACAUCCUAAAGUCAGCACAGCAGAGGAGGCCCAGGCAGUGCCAGGAGUCAAGGUGAGUGCACACCCUGACUGUGUACCAAGGGCCCUACCCCCAGAAACAGAGGAGACCCCACAGCACCCGGCCGUACCCAUCUACUGUUAUUCCUGGGGUCUCAGGCUCUGCCUGCCAGCUGUGCCCUGAGGUGUGUUCCCACAUCCUCCUACAGGUUGCCAGCAGACAAACUCCCUAGGAAGACAGGAGACCUGUGAGGCCCUAGAGCACCACCUUAAGAGAAGAAGAGCUCUAAGUUGGCCUUUGUCAGAGCCAUCAUGAGUGAGUUUCUCAGCUGAGGCCAUUCACACUGUCAUUCUCUUCCACAGGCCUGUUGGAUCUCAUCAUCCAUAUCCCUGUUGACACCUUUACCUG